ACUGGGGAAGGGGAUUGGUGAGUAUGAAUUCUCGAAAUUACUUACGAUUGCUUUCAAGUAUUCAAAAUCAUAUGAGCAAAGCACAAUAAUGAAUCAUUAGAGCAAGAAAAUGUUGAUCAAACUUGUAGUAAGCAAUUACUAACGAUUGCUUCUAAUUAUUUUCCCUUUCGAUAUUUUUGUCUUGUGCAACAUUGUUUAGUGCUUCAGAAUUAGAUAGGCUUUUUUCACUAGAGAACAAUGUAUUGAAAAAUAAUCACAGACAGUGUUUCCAUUUCAAGCAACUCAAGCCCAACCAUAGAGAGCUUGAUUAAUAUUUUAGAAACAUGGACAUCUAAUUUUACAAUGUCAAAACAGAUGUGAAUGUUUUGAUUCAAUGAUGACACUAUAUCAAAAUUCGAUGAUUUGGUAAUGAGCACUUAGAAAACCAUUAAGAUGGUUUCUCUUAGUUAUUCCUUCCUGGAAGCAUACGGAGUCUGAUUCCUAAAUCCUCAGCCGCUCUGAUUUCGUAGUUUCUAUUAUUUAUUUUUUAUGCUUAUUUAUUAAAUCUAAAAGUUGGGAAUUAGUUUUUUUGGGCAGAGGAAAUUUUUGAGACACUUCCCAGCCUAAUUAAAAUCAAAUUUGACAGUGGUGUAAUUGACAAUGACUUGAUUUUGGACUUGCCGUGUACACAUAUACUACCAUUUGGAAGGUUCAAGUUGAGCUUUGAUAAAGCGGUCCAACAGAGUUCUUACAGGCAAUUUAUUGCUAUUCGUAAGGGAAAACUCUGAAUUGUAUUUACUGAGGAAUUGAAGGUAUUAAAUUACGAGGAUUUAUACUAAUAUCUGUAUAGUAGUACCUGCUAAUAUUUUUACUUUUCAUUCUUGUACCAGAUAUUGUUUUGGGAAUUUUGUACAUAUCAUUACGAAGAGUUCGUGCAUCGUUCACUGCUCACUCAACUGACAAAUCGCUCAGAUGAGGUUUCGGAGAUAUCCCAAACCCAAAAUGCUGAAAAUGAAUCAGAUGGGAAGGCUGUAAACGGAUCACAGACAAACUACAUUGUGUCACAGGACACCAUAUCUCAUUCAGAAUAUAAGUUGGUUUCCUCAACUGUCCAUGGCUCAGGAUUUCCUAAAUCUUACUACCAAACCUGUCAAGUACGUUGGAUCAUGCUUCAUGUU